UACGUAGGGUGCAAGCGUUGUCCGGAAUUAUUGGGCGUAAAAGAGCUCGUAGGCGGCUUGUCACGUCUGCUGUGAAAAACUCGGGGGCUCAACCCCCGAGCCUGCAGUGGAUACGGGCUAGCUAGAGUGCGGUAGGGGGAGACUGGAAUUCCUGGUGUAGCGGUGAAAAUGCGCAGAUAUCAGGAGGAACACCGGUGGCGAAGGCGGGUCUCUGGGCAGUAACUGACGCUGAGGAGCGAAAAGCGUGGGGUAGCAAAACAGG
rnacentral:rRNA from 1 species